UACGGCCCGCCCAUAGCUCCUUCGACGGCGCCGCCUAGGAACGCGGAGAAAAUAUGACAAAGGAACGGCCAAAAAUAAAAAGAAAGACCUUUCUUUUGAAAAAACAAACAAAAAAAAAGGAAUGCAACACGAGGACUUCCCAGGAGGUCACCCAUCCUAGUACUACUCUCGCCCAAGCACGCUUAACUUCGGAGUUCUGAUGGGAUCCGGUGCUUUAGUGCUGGUAUGAUCGCAUCCGACAUACCGUGCGUUCUCCUCCCCUUUAUGCCCGCGCCUCCGUGUACGGCCCGCCCAUAGCUCCUUCGACGGCGCCGCCUAGGAACGCGGAGAAAAUAUGACAAAGGAACGGCCAAAAAUAAAAAGAAAGACCUUUCUUUUGAAAAAACAAACAAAAAAAAGGAAUGCAACACGAGGACUUCCCAGGAGGUCACCCAUCCUAGUACUACUCUCGCCCAAGCACGCUUAACUUCGGAGUUCUGAUGGGAUCCGGUGCUUUAGUGCUGGUAUGAUCGCAUCCGACAUACCGUGCGUUCUCCUCCCCUUUAUGCCCGCGCCUCCGUGUACGGCCCGCCCAUAGCUCCUUCGACGGCGCCGCCUAGGAACGCGGAGAAAAUAUGACAAAGGAACGGCCAAAAAUAAAAAGAAAGACCUUUCUUUUGAAAAAACAAACAAAAAAAAGGAAUGCAACACGAGGACUUCCCAGGAGGUCACCCAUCCUAGUACUACUCUCGCCCAAGCACGCUUAACUUCGGAGUUCUGAUGGGAUCCGGUGCUCUAGUGCUGGUAUGAUCGCAUCCGACAUACCGUGCGUUCUCCUCCCCUUUAUGCCCGCGCCUCCGUGUACGGCCCGCCCAUAGCUCCUUCGACGGCGCCGCCUAGGAACGCGGAGAAAAUAUGACAAAGGAACGGCCAAAAAUAAAAAGAAAGACCUUUCUUUUGAAAAAACAAACAAAAAAAAAGGAAUGCAACACGAGGACUUCCCAGGAGGUCACCCAUCCUAGUACUACUCUCGCCCAAGCACGCUUAACUUCGGAGUUCUGAUGGGAUCCGGUGCUUUAGUGCUGGUAUGAUCGCAUCCGACAUACCGUGCGUUCUCCUCCCCUUUAUGCCCGCGCCUCCGUGUACGGCCCGCCCAUAGCUCCUUCGACGGCGCCGCCUAGGAACGCGGAGAAAAUAUGACAAAGGAACGGCCAAAAAUAAAAAGAAAGACCUUUCUUUUGAAAAAACAAACAAAUAAAAGGAAUGCAACACGAGGACUUCCUAGGAGGUCACCCAUCCUAGUACUACUCUCGCCCAAGCACGCUUAACUUCGGAGUUCUAAUGGGAUCCGGUGCUUUAGUGCUGGUAUGAUCGCAUCCGACAUACCGUGCGUUCUCCUCCCCUUUAUGCCCGCGCCUCCGUGUACGGCCCGCCCAUAGCUCCUUCGACGGCGCCGCCUAGGAACGCGGAGAAAAUAUGACAAAGGAACGGCCAAAAAUAAAAAGAAAGACCUUUCUUUUGAAAAAACAAACAAAAAAAAGGAAUGCAACACGAGGACUUCCCAGGAGGUCACCCAUCCUAGUACUACUCUCGCCCAAGCACGCUUAACUUCGGAGUUCUGAUGGGAUCCGGUGCUUUAGUGCUGGUAUGAUCGCAUCCGACAUACCGUGCGUUCUCCUCCCCUUUAUGCCCGCGCCUCCGUGUACGGCCCGCCCAUAGCUCCUUCGACGGCGCCGCCUAGGAACGCGGAGAAAAUAUGACAAAGGAACGGCCAAAAAUAAAAAGAAAGACCUUUCUUUUGAAAAAACAAACAAAAAAAAGGAAUGCAACACGAGGACUUCCCAGGAGGUCACCCAUCCUAGUACUACUCUCGCCCAAGCACGCUUAACUUCGGAGUUCUGAUGGGAUCCGGUGCUUUAGUGCUGGUAUGAUCGCAUCCGACAUACCGUGCGUUCUCCUCCCCUUUAUGCCCGCGCCUCCGUGUACGGCCCGCCCAUAGCUCCUUCGACGGCGCCGCCUAGGAACGCGGAGAAAAUAUGACAAAGGAACGGCCAAAAAUAAAAAGAAAGACCUUUCUUUUGAAAAAACAAACAAAAAAAAGGAAUGCAACACGAGGACUUCCCAGGAGGUCACCCAUCCUAGUACUACUCUCGCCCAAGCACGCUUAACUUCGGAGUUCUGAUGGGAUCCGGUGCUUUAGUGCUGGUAUGAUCGAAUCCGACAUACCGUGCGUUCUCCUCCCCUUUAUGCCCGCGCCUCCGUGUACGGUCCGCCCAUAGCUCCUUCGACGGCGCCGCCUAGGAACGCGGAGAAAAUAUGACAAAGGAACGGCCAAAAAUAAAAAGAAAGACCUUUCUUUUGAAAAAACAAACAAAUAAAAGGAAUGCAACACGAGGACUUCCCAGGAGGUCACCCAUCCUAGUACUACUCUCGCCCAAGCACGCUUAACUUCGGAGUUCUGAUGGGAUCCGGUGCUUUAGUGCUGGUAUGAUCGCAUCCGACAUACCGUGCGUUCUCCUCCCCUUUAUGCCCGCGCCUCCGUGUACGGCCCGCCCAUAGCUCCUUCGACGGCGCCGCCUAGGAACGCGGAGAAAAUAUGACAAAGGAACGGCCAAAAAUAAAAAGAAAGACCUUUCUUUUGAAAAAACAAACAAAUAAAAGGAAUGCAACACGAGGACUUCCCAGGAGGUCACCCAUCCUAGUACUACUCUCGCCCAAGCACGCUUAACUUCGGAGUUCUGAUGGGAUCCGGUGCUUUAGUGCUGGUAUGAUCGCAUCCGACAUACCGUGCGUUCUCCUCCCCUUUAUGCCCGCGCCUCCGUGUACGGCCCGCCCAUAGCUCCUUCGACGGCGCCGCCUAGGAACGCGGAGAAAAUAUGACAAAGGAACGGCCAAAAAUAAAAAGAAAGACCUUUCUUUUGAAAAAACAAACAAAAAAAAGGAAUGCAGCACCAGGACUUCCCGGAAGGUCACCCAUCCAAAUACAACUCUCGCCGAACCACGUUUAACUUCGAAUUUCUAAUGGAAUCCGGGGCUUUAGAGCUGGAAUGAUCGCAUCCGACAUACCGUGCGUUCUCCUCCCCUUUAUGCCCGCGCCUCCGUGUACGGCCCGCCCAUAGCUCCUUCGACGGCGCCGCCUAGGAACGCGGAGAAAAUAUGACAAAGGAGCGGCCAAAAAUAAAAAGAAAGACCUUUCUUUUGAAAAAACAAACAAAUAAAAGGAAUGCAACACGAGGACUUCCUAGGAGGUCACCCAUCCUAGUACUACUCUCGCCCAAGCACGCUUAACUUCGGAGUUCUGAUGGGAUCCGGUGCUUUAGUGCUGGUAUGAUCGCAUCCGACAUACCGUGCGUUCUCCUCCCCUUUAUGCCCGCGCCUCCGUGUACGGCCCGCCCAUAGCUCCUUCGACGGCGCCGCCUAGGAACGCGGAGAAAAUAUGACAAAGGAACGGCCAAAAAUAAAAAGAAAGACCUUUCUUUUGAAAAAACAAACGCCUCCGUGUACGGCCCGCCCAUAGCUCCUUCGACGGCGCCGCCUAGGAACGCGGAGAAAAUAUGACAAAGGAACGGCCAAAAAUAAAAAGAAAGACCUUUCUUUUGAAAAAACAAACAAAAAAAAGGAAUGCAACACGAGGACUUCCCAGGAGGUCACCCAUCCUAGUACUACUCUCGCCCAAGCACGCUUAACUUCGGAGUUCUGAUGGGAUCCGGUGCUUUAGUGCUGGUAUGAUCGCAUCCGACAUACCGUGCGUUCUCCUCCCCUUUAUGCCCGCGCCUCCGUGUACGGCCCGCCCAUAGCUCCUUCGACGGCGCCGCCUAGGAACGCGGAGAAAAUAUGACAAAGGAACGGCCAAAAAUAAAAAGAAAGACCUUUCUUUUGAAAAAACAAACAAAUAAAAGGAAUGCAACACGAGGACUUCCCAGGAGGUCACCCAUCCUAGUACUACUCUCGCCCAAGCACGCUUAACUUCGGAGUUCUGAUGGGAUCCGGUGCUUUAGUGCUGGUAUGAUCGCAUUCGACAUACCGAUGCGUUCUCAUCCCCGUUAUGCGCCGCGCCUCUGUGUACGGCCCGCCCAUAGCUCCUUUGACUGCGCCUCGUAGGAUCGCGGAGAAUAUAUGACAAAGGCACGGCCAAACAUAAAACGAAAGACCUCUCUUUUGCAACAACAAACAAAAUAAAGGAAUGCAACACGAGGACUUCCCAGGAGGUCACCCAUCCUAGUACUAGUCUCGCUCAAGCACGCUGAUCUUCGGAGUUCUGAUGGGAUCCGGUGCUUUAGUGCUGGUAUGAUCGCAUCCGACAUACCGUGCGUUCUCCUCCCCUUUAUGCCCGCGCCUCCGUGUACGGCCCGCCCAUAGCUCCUUCGACGGCGCCGCCUAGGAACGCGGAGAAAAUAUGACAAAGGAACGGCCAAAAAUAAAAAGAAAGACCUUUCUUUUGAAAAAACAAACAAAAAAAAGGAAUGCAACACGAGGACUUCCCAGGAGGUCACCCAUCCUAGUACUACUCUCGCCCAAGCACGCUUAACUUCGGAGUUCUGAUGGGAUCCGGUGCUUUAGUGCUGGUAUGAUCGCAUCCGACAUACCGUGCGUUCUCCUCCCCUUUAUGCCCGCGCCUCCGUGUACGGCCCGCCCAUAGCUCCUUCGACGGCGCCGCCUAGGAACGCGGAGAAAAUAUGACAAAGGAACGGCCAAAAAUAAAAAGAAAGACCUUUCUUUUGAAAAAACAAACAAAUAAAAGGAAUGCAACACGAGGACUUCCCAGGAGGUCACCCAUCCUAGUACUACUCUCGCCCAAGCACGCUUAACUUCGGAGUUCUGAUGGGAUCCGGUGCUUUAGUGCUGGUAUGAUCGCAUCCGACAUACCGUGCGUUCUCCUCCCCUUUAUGCCCGCGCCUCCGUGUACGGCCCGCCCAUAGCUCCUUCGACGAGCCCGCCUAGGAACGCGGAGAAAAUAUGACAAAGGAACGGCCAAAAAUAAAAAGAAAGACCUUUCUUUUGAAAAAACAAACAAAUAAAAGGAAUGCAACACGAGGACUUCCCAGGAGGUCACCCAUCCUAGUACUACUCUCGCCCAAGCACGCUUAACUUCGGAGUUCUGAUGGGAUCCGGUGCUUUAGUGCUGGUAUGAUCGCAUCCGACAUACCGUGCGUUCUCCUCCCCUUUAUGCCCGCGCCUCCGUGUACGGCCCGCCCAUAGCUCCUUCGACGGCGCCGCCUAGGAACGCGGAGAAAAUAUGACAAAGGAACGGCCAAAAAUAAAAAGAAAGACCUUUCUUUUGAAAAAACAAACAAAAAAAAGGAAUGCAACACGAGGACUUCCCAGGAGGUCACCCAUCCUAGUACUACUCUCGCCCAAGCACGCUUAACUUCGGAGUUCUGAUGGGAUCCGGUGCUUUAGUGCUGGUAUGAUCGCAUCCGACAUACCGUGCGUUCUCCUCCCCUUUAUGCCCGCGCCUCCGUGUACGGCCCGCCCAUAGCUCCUUCGACGGCGCCGCCUAGGAACGCGGAGAAAAUAUGACAAAGGAACGGCCAAAAAUAAAAAGAAAGACCUUUCUUUUGAAAAAACAAACAAAUAAAAGGAAUGCAACACGAGGACUUCCCAGGAGGUCACCCAUCCUAGUACUACUCUCGCCCAAGCACGCUUAACUUCGGAGUUCUGAUGGGAUCCGGUGCUUUAGUGCUGGUAUGAUCGCAUCCGACAUACCGUGCGUUCUCCUCCCCUUUAUGCCCGCGCCUCCGUGUACGGCCCGCCCAUAGCUCCUUCGACGGCGCCGCCUAGGAACGCGGAGAAAAUAUGACAAAGGAACGGCCAAAAAUAAAAAGAAAGACCUUUCUUUUGAAAAAACAAACAAAUAAAAGGAAUGCAACACGAGGACUUCCCAGGAGGUCACCCAUCCUAGUACUACUCUCGCCCAAGCACGCUUAACUUCGGAGUUCUGAUGGGAUCCGGUGCUUUAGUGCUGGUAUGAUCGCAUCCGACAUACCGUGCGUUCUCCUCCCCUUUAUGCCCGCGCCUCCGUGUACGGUCCGCCCAUAGCUCUUUAGUUGGCGCCUCCUAGGAACGCGGAGAAAAUAUGACAAAGGAACGGCCAAAAAUAAAAAGAAAGACCUUUCUUUUGAAAAAACAAACGCCUCCGUGUACGGCCCGCCCAUAGCUCCUUCGACGGCGCCGCCUAGGAACGCGGAGAAAAUAUGACAAAGGAACGGCCAAAAAUAAAAAGAAAGACCUUUCUUUUGAAAAAACAAACAAAAAAAAGGAAUGCAACACGAGGACUUCCCAGGAGGUCACCCAUCCUAGUACUACUCUCGCCCAAGCACGCUUAACUUCGGAGUUCUGAUGGGAUCCGGUGCUUUAGUGCUGGUAUGAUCGCAUCCGACAUACCGUGCGUUCUCCUCCCCUUUAUGCCCGCGCCUCCGUGUACGGCCCGCCCAUAGCUCCUUCGACGGCGCCGCCUAGGAACGCGGAGAAAAUAUGACAAAGGAACGGCCAAAAAUAAAAAGAAAGACCUUUCUUUUGAAAAAACAAACAAAUAAAAGGAAUGCAACACGAGGAGUUCCCAGGAGGUCACCCAUCCUAGUACUACUCUCGCCCAAGCACGCUUAACUUCGGAGUUCUGAUGGGAUCCGGUGCUUUAGUGCUGGUAUGAUCGCAUCCGACAUACCGUGCGUUCUCCUCCCCUUUAUGCCCGCGCCUCCGUGUACGGCCCGCCCAUAGCUCCUUCGAUGGCGCCGCCUAGGAACGCGGAGAAAAUAUGACAAAGGAACGGCCAAAAAUAAAAAGAAAGACCUUUCUUUUGAAAAAACAAACGCCUCCGUGUACGGCCCGCCCAUAGCUCCUUCGACGGCGCCGCCUAGGAACGCGGAGAAAAUAUGACAAAGGAACGGCCAAAAAUAAAAAGAAAGACCUUUCUUUUGAAAAAACAAACAAAAAAAAGGAAUGCAACACGAGGACUUCCCAGGAGGUCACCCAUCCUAGUACUACUCUCGCCCAAGCACGCUUAACUUCGGAGUUCGGAUGGGAUCCGGUGCUUUAGUGCUGGUAUGAUCGCAUCCGACAUACCGUGCGUUCUCCUCCCCUUUAUGCCCGCGCCUCCGUGUACGGCCCGCCCAUAGCUCCUUCGACGGCGCCGCCUAGGAACGCGGAGAAAAUAUGACAAAGGAACGGCCAAAAAUAAAAAGAAAGACCUUUCUUUUGAAAAAACAAACAAAUAAAAGGAAUGCAACACGAGGACUUCCCAGGAGGUCACCCAUCCUAGUACUACUCUCGCCCAAGCACGCUUAACUUCGGAGUUCUGAUGGGAUCCGGUGCUUUAGUGCUGGUAUGAUCGCAUCCGACAUACCGUGCGUUCUCCUCCCCUUUAUGCCCGCGCCUCCGUGUACGGCCCGCCCAUAGCUCCUUCGACGGCGCCGCCUAGGAACGCGGAGAAAAUAUGACAAAGGAACGGCCAAAAAUAAAAAGAAAGACCUUUCUUUUGAAAAAACAAACAAAAAAAAGGAAUGCAACACGAGGACUUCCCAGGAGGUCACCCAUCCUAGUACUACUCUCGCCCAAGCACGCUUAACUUCGCAGUUCUGAUGGGAUCCGGUGCUUUAGUGCUGGUAUGAUCGCAUCCGACAUACCGUGCGUUCUCCUCCCCUUUAUGCCCGCGCCUCCGUGUACGGCCCGCCCAUAGCUCCUUCGACGGCGCCGCCUAGGAACGCGGAGAAAAUAUGACAAAGGAACGGCCAAAAAUAAAAAGAAAGACCUUUCUUUUGAAAAAACAAACGGCUCCGUGUACGGCCCGCCCAUAGCUCCUUCGACGGCGCCGCCUAGGAACGCGGAGAAAAUAUGACAAAGGAACGGCCAAAAAUAAAAAGAAAGACCUUUCUUUUGAAAAAACAAACAAAAAAAAGGAAUGCAACACGAGGACUUCCCAGGAGGUCACCCAUCCUAGUACUACUCUCGCCCAAGCACGCUUAACUUCGGAGUUCUGAUGGGAUCCGGUGCUUUAGUGCUGGUAUGAUCGCAUCCGACAUACCGUGCGUUCUCCUCCCCUUUAUGCCCGCGCCUCCGUGUACGGCCCGCCCAUAGCUCCUUCGACGGCGCCGCCUAGGAACGCGGAGAAAAUAUGACAAAGGAACGGCCAAAAAUAAAAAGAAAGACCUUUCUUUUGAAAAAACAAACAAAUAAAAGGAAUGCAACACGAGGACUUCCCAGGAGGUCACCCAUCCUAGUACUACUCUCGCCCAAGCACGCUUAACUUCGGAGUUCUGAUGGGAUCCGGUGCUUUAGUGCUGGUAUGAUCGCAUCCGACAUACCGUGUGUCGACGAAAGCUGGUCGGCAGUCUACCUUGGGGUAUACCCACGGUAGUAGUUUAUCGGUAGACGGUGCGCAAACUACGAACUCGAUGGUGACGCAAGACACGGACAAGCUUUUUAUCCAGGUUCGGCCGCCGAGUUGGCGUAAUACCUACGUCCUGCGUCUGGUUGUAUUGGAUUGUGUUUAGAGAUAAUCUACCCUAGGGGGUCCCCUUGCCCCUCCUUAUAUAGUCUGGAGGGCAGGGUUACAGAUCUAGAAACUAAUCCUAGCCGGUUACAAUUGCCAUAGAUAAUUCGAUAUCAAUUCCUAUUCUAACCGACUAGAAUCCUGCUUGAUCUCCACGUCCUGUUUCCUUGCGCGAAACUCGGGCUAUCGGAUCAAGCCUUGAACUCGUCUCGUAGUGGGCCAAGCUUCCUAGCUGAAGUCUAGCCGUAAGGGUAUAGGGGUUUAUACCCCCACAGCUAGUCCCCGAGCGCCAUGUAUUGUGACGCAACACUCCGUCUUGAGCUUCUUCGAUCAGCGUGGUCUGUCGUCUUCAAUGAGCGGGGAAAUCGCCCAAACGGUUCAUUGAUCAACGUUGUCAUCGAAGAAGCAGGUUGUUCGAAGAAUGCAUGGUGCUCUAAAAAAAAUUUCUUUCCUGGUGAAGUGUGCCCACUUUGCCUUUCUGAAAGGUAGAAGCAACAAAAAAGCAAGCAAAUUCACCGCUAGGUGAAGUGUGCCCACUUAGUCCCCGAGCCUGGUAGUAGGUGUCGUAGGCACGUGGUGCCAGGGUCAAAAGAAAAUUCCCCAAAGUAGUUUUGGGACUGAGAUGCAUCGUACCGAUGUAGUCCCCGAGCUUGCUGGAAGGCGAAGUAUGAGCCUUGUAGCAAGGUCUAAAAAAUUGAAUUUACCAGUCCCCGAGCAUGUCAUGCUCGUCUGCAAUCGAAAAGACCAAUCGACCAGUCCCCAGGCACUUAGUGUGCUGCCUGGAAUUACAUGUUACUAUACUGUACGACCAGUCCCCGAGCAUCGAGUGCUCAGUGGUCGGUGCAUGCUUUAAAGCUUUGAGCUGAUAGACUGAGCGACCAGUCCCCGAGCGUCGAGUGCUCGGUGGUCGGUGAAGUCUUUGAAGUUCCGAGCUGAUAAACUGGGCGACCAGUCCCCGAGCGUCGAGUGCUCGGUGGUCGGUGCAGUCUUUGAAGUUCCGAGCUAAUAAACUGGGCGACCAGUCCCCGAGCGUCGAGUGCUCGGUGGUCGGUGCAGUCUUUGAAGUUCCGAGCUAAUAAACUGGGCGACCAGUCCCCGAGCGUCGAGUGCUCGGUGGUCGGUGCAGUCCCCGGAUUGCUGACUCACUGGCGUAUGUGUCUUCUUACUUUUGAAAAGGUCUUUCAAAUUUAAAGUUGACGUGACGGGGUCUCCUGACGAUAUGUCAGACGGAUGCAUGAAAAGCUGUGCCUGGCAACUGUACAACCGCUCUUUGCNNNNNNNNNNNNNNNNNNNNNNNNNNNNNNNNNNNNNNNNNNNNNNNNNNNNNNNNNNNNNNNNNNNNNNNNNNNNNNNNNNNNNNNNNNNNNNNNNNNNCGUUCUCCUCCCCUUUAUGCCCGCGCCUCCGUGUCCGUAAAGGGCAUAGCUCCUUCGACGGCGCCGCCGUAGGAACGCUGAGAAGAUAUGACAAAGGAACGGCCAAAAAUAAAAAGAAAGACCUUUCUUUUGAAAAAACAAACAAAAAAAAGGAAUGCAACACGAGGACUUCCCAGGAGGUCACCCAUCCUAGUACUACUCUCGCCCAAGCACGCUUAACUUCGGAGUUCUGAUGGGAUCCGGUGCUUUAGUGCUGGUAUGAUCGCAUCCGACAUACCGUGCGUUCUCCUCCCCUUUAUGCCCGCGCCUCCGUGUACGGCCGGCCCAUAGCUCCUUCGACGGCGCCGCCUAGGAACGCGGAGAAAAUAUGACAAAGGAAUUUUUUUAAAUAAAAAGAAAGACCUUUCUUUUGAAAAAACAAACGAAAAAAAGGAAUGCAACACGAGGACUUCCCAGGAGGUCACCCAUCCUAGUACUACUCUCGCCCAAGCACGCUUAACUUCGGAGUUCUGAUGGGAUCCGGUGCUUUAGUGCUGGUAUGAUCGCAUCCGACAUACCGUGCGUUCUCCUCCCCUUUAUGCCCGCGCCUCCGUGUACGGCCCGCCCAUAGCUCCUUCGACGGCGCCGCCUAAGAACGCGGAAAAAAUAUGACAAAGGAACGGCCAAAAAUAAAAAAAAAAAACCUUUCUUUUGAAAAAANNNNNNNNNNNNNNNNNNNNNNNNNNNNNNNNNNNNNNNNNNNNNNNNNNNNNNNNNNNNNNNNNNNNNNNNNNNNNNNNNNNNNNNNNNNNNNNNNNNNAAAAGGAAUGCAACACGAGGACUUCCCAGGAGGUCACCCAUCCUAGUACUACUCUCGCCCAAGCACGCUUAACUUCGGAGUUCUGAUGGGAUCCGGUGCUUUAGUGCUGGUAUGAUCGCAUCCGACAUACCGUGCGUUCUCCUCCCCUUUAUGCCCGCGCCUCCGUGUUACGGCCCGCCCAUAGCUCCUUCGACGGCGCCGCCUAGGAACGCGGAGAAAAUAUGACAAAGGAACGGCCAAAAAUCAAAAGAAAGACCUUUCUUUUGAAAAAACACACGCCUCCGUGUACGGCCCGCCCAUAGCUCCUUCGACGGCGCCGCCUAGGAACGCGGAGAAAAUAUGACAAAGGAACGGCCAAAAAUAAAAAGAAAGACCUUUCUUUUGAAAAAACAAACAAAUAAAAGGAAUGCAACACGAGGACUUCCCAGGAGGUCACCCAUCCUAGUACUACUCUCGCCCAAGCACGCUUAACUUCGGAGUUCUGAUGGGAUCCGGUGCUUUAGUGCUGGUAUGAUCGCAUCCGACAUACCGUGCGUUCUCCUCCCCUUUAUGCCCGCGCCUCCGUGUACGGCCCGCCCAUAGCUCCUUCGACGGCGCCGCCUAGGAACGCGGAGAAAAUAUGACAAAGGAACGGCCAAAAAUAAAAAGAAAGACCUUUCUUUUGAAAAAACAAACAAAUAAAAGGAAUGCAACACGAGGACUUCCCAGGAGGUCACCCAUCCUAGUACUACUCUCGCCCAAGCACGCUUAACUUCGGAGUUCUGAUGGGAUCCGGUGCUUUAGUGCUGGUAUGAUCGCAUCCGACAUACCGUGCGUUCUCCUCCCCUUUAUGCCCGCGCCUCCGUGUACGGCCCGCCCAUAGCUCCUUCGACGGCGCCGCCUAGGAACGCGGAGAAAAUAUGACAAAGGAACGGCCAAAAAUAAAAAGAAAGACCUUUCUUUUGAAAAAACAAACGCCUCCGUGUACGGCCCGCCCAUAGCUCCUUCGACGGCGCCGCCUAGGAACGCGGAGAAAAUAUGACAAAGGAACGGCCAAAAAUAAAAAGAAAGACCUUUCUUUUGAAAAAACAAACAAAAAAAAGGAAUGCAACACGAGGACUUCCCAGGAGGUCACCCAUCCUAGUACUACUCUCGCCCAAGCACGCUUAACUUCGGAGUUCUGAUGGGAUCCGGUGCUUUAGUGCUGGUAUGAUCGCAUCCGACAUACCGUGCGUUCUCCUCCCCUUUAUGCCCGCGCCUCCGUGUACGGCCCGCCCAUAGCUCCUUCGACGGCGCCGCCUAGGAACGCGGAGAAAAUAUGACAAAGGAACGGCCAAAAAUAAAAAGAAAGACCUUUCUUUUGAAAAAACAAACAAAUAAAAGGAAUGCAACACGAGGACUUCCCAGGAGGUCACCCAUCCUAGUACUACUCUCGCCCAAGCACGCUUAACUUCGGAGUUCUGAUGGGAUCCGGUGCUUUAGUGCUGGUAUGAUCGCAUCCGACAUACCGUGCGUUCUCCUCCCCUUUAUGCCCGCGCCUCCGUGUACGGCCCGCCCAUAGCUCCUUCGACGGCGCCGCCUAGGAACGCGGAGAAAAUAUGACAAAGGAACGGCCAAAAAUAAAAAGAAAGACCUUUCUUUUGAAAAAACAAACGCCUCCGUGUACGGCCCGCCCAUAGCUCCUUCGACGGCGCCGCCUAGGAACGCGGAGAAAAUAUGACAAAGGAACGGCCAAAAAUAAAAAGAAAGACCUUUCUUUUGAAAAAACAAACAAAAAAAAGGAAUGCAACACGAGGACUUCCCAGGAGGUCACCCAUCCUAGUACUACUCUCGCCCAAGCACGCUUAACUUCGGAGUUCUGAUGGGAUCCGGUGCUUUAGUGCUGGUAUGAUCGCAUCCGACAUACCGUGCGUUCUCCUCCCCUUUAUGCCCGCGCCUCCGUGUACGGCCCGCCCAUAGCUCCUUCGACGGCGCCGCCUAGGAACGCGGAGAAAAUAUGACAAAGGAACGGCCAAAAAUAAAAAGAAAGACCUUUCUUUUGAAAAAACAAACAAAUAAAAGGAAUGCAACACGAGGACUUCCCAGGAGGUCACCCAUCCUAGUACUACUCUCGCCCAAGCACGCUUAACUUCGGAGUUCUGAUGGGAUCCGGUGCUUUAGUGCUGGUAUGAUCGCAUCCGACAUACCGUGCGUUCUCCUCCCCUUUAUGCCCGCGCCUCCGUGUACGGCCCGCCCAUAGCUCCUUCGACGGCGCCGCCUAGGAACGCGGAGAAAAUAUGACAAAGGAACGGCCAAAAAUAAAAAGAAAGACCUUUCUUUUGAAAAAACAAACAAAAAAAAGGAAUGCAACACGAGGACUUCCCAGGAGGUCACCCAUCCUAGUACUACUCUCGCCCAAGCACGCUUAACUUCGGAGUUCUGAUGGGAUCCGGUGCUUUAGUGCUGGUAUGAUCGCAUCCGACAUACCGUGCGUUCUCCUCCCCUUUAUGCCCGCGCCUCCGGGUACGGUCCUCCCAUAGCUCCGUCAACGGCCCGCCUAGGAACGCGGAGAAAAUAUGACAAAGGAACGGCCAAAAAUAAAAAGAAAGCCCUUUCUUUUGAAAAGACAACCGAAUAAAAGGAAUGCCACGCGAGGACUUCCCAGGAGGUCACCCAUCAUAGUACUACUCUCGCCCAAGCACGCUUAACUUCGGAGUUCUGAUGGGAUCCGGUGCUUUAGUGCUGGUAUGAUCGCAUCCGACAUACCGCGCGUUCUCCUCCCCUUAAGGCCCGCGCCUCCGUGUACGGCCCGCCCAUAGCUCCUUAGACGGCACCUCCUAGGAACGCGGAGAAAAUAUGACAAAGGAACGGCCAAAAAUAAAAAGAAAGACCUUUCUUUUGAAAAAACAAACGCCUCCGUGUACGGCCCGCCCAUAGCUCCUUCGACGGCGCCGCCUAGGAACGCGGAGAAAAUAUGACAAAGGAACGGCCAAAAAUAAAAAGAAAGACCUUUCUUUUGAAAAAACAAACAAAAAAAAGGAAUGCAACACGAGGACUUCCCAGGAGGUCACCCAUCCUAGUACUACUCUCGCCCAAGCACGCUUAACUUCGGAGUUCUGAUGGGAUCCGGUGCUUUAGUGCUGGUAUGAUCGCAUCCGACAUACCGUGCGUUCUCCUCCCCUUUAUGCCCGCGCCUCCGUGUACGGCCCGCCCAUAGCUCCUUCGACGGCGCCGCCUAGGAACGCGGAGAAAAUAUGACAAAGGAACGGCCAAAAAUAAAAAGAAAGACCUUUCUUUUGAAAAAACAAACGCCUCCGCGUACGGCCCGCCCAUAGCUCCUUCGACGGCGCCGCCUAGGAACGCGGAGAAAAUAUGACAAAGGAACGGCCAAAAAUAAAAAGAAAGACCUUUCUUUUGAAAAAACAAACAAAAAAAAGGAAUGCAACACGAGGACUUCCCAGGAGGUCACCCAUCCUAGUACUACUCUCGCCCAAGCACGCUUAACUUCGGAGUUCUGAUGGGAUCCGGUGCUUUAGUGCUGGUAUGAUCGCAUCCGACAUACCGUGCGUUCUCCUCCCCUUUAUGCCCGCGCCUCCGUGUACGGCCCGCCCAUAGCUCCUUCGACGGCGCCGCCUAGGAACGCGGAGAAAAUAUGACAAAGGAACGGCCAAAAAUAAAAAGAAAGACCUUUCUUUUGAAAAAACAAACAAAUAAAAGGAAUGCAACACGAGGACUUCCCAGGAGGUCACCCAUCCUAGUACUACUCUCGCCCAAGCACGCUUAACUUCGGAGUUCUGAUGGGAUCCGGUGCUUUAGUGCUGGUAUGAUCGCAUCCGACAUACCGUGCGUUCUCCUCCCCUUUAUGCCCGCGCCUCCGUGUACGGCCCGCCCAUAGCUCCUUCGACGGCGCCGCCUAGGAACGCGGAGAAAAUAUGACAAAGGAACGGCCAAAAAUAAAAAGAAAGACCUUUCUUUUGAAAAAACAAACAAAUAAAAGGAAUGCAACACGAGGACUUCCCAGGAGGUCACCCAUCCUAGUACUACUCUCGCCCAAGCACGCUUAACUUCGGAGUUCUGAUGGGAUCCGGUGCUUUAGUGCUGGUAUGAUCGCAUCCGACAUACCGUGCGUUCUCCUCCCCUUUAUGCCCGCGCCUCCGUGUACGGCCCGCCCAUAGCUCCUUCGACGGCGCCGCCUAGGAACGCGGAGAAAAUAUGACAAAGGAACGGCCAAAAAUAAAAAGAAAGACCUUUCUUUUGAAAAAACAAACGCCUCCGUGUACGGCCCGCCCAUAGCUCCUUCGACGGCGCCGCCUAGGAACGCGGAGAAAAUAUGACAAAGGAACGGCCAAAAAUAAAAAGAAAGACCUUUCUUUUGAAAAAACAAACAAAAAAAAGGAAUGCAACACGAGGACUUCCCAGGAGGUCACCCAUCCUAGUACUACUCUCGCCCAAGCACGCUUAACUUCGGAGUUCUGAUGGGAUCCGGUGCUUUAGUGCUGGUAUGAUCGCAUCCGACAUACCGUGCGUUCUCCUCCCCUUUAUGCCCGCGCCUCCGUGUACGGCCCGCCCAUAGCUCCUUCGACGGCGCCGCCUAGGAACGCGGAGAAAAUAUGACAAAGGAACGGCCAAAAAUAAAAAGAAAGACCUUUCUUUUGAAAAAACAAACAAAUAAAAGGAAUGCAACACGAGGACUUCCCAGGAGGUCACCCAUCCUAGUACUACUCUCGCCCAAGCACGCUUAACUUCGGAGUUCUGAUGGGAUCCGGUGCUUUAGUGCUGGUAUGAUCGCAUCCGACAUACCGUGCGUUCUCCUCCCCUUUAUACCCGCGCCUCCGUGUACGGCCCGCCCAUAGCUCCUUCGACGGCGCCGCCUAGGAACGCGGAGAAAAUAUGACAAAGGAACGGCCAAAAAUAAAAAGAAAGACCUUUCUUUUGAAAAAACAAACAAAUAAAAGGAAUGCAACACGAGGACUUCCCAGGAGGUCACCCAUCCUAGUACUACUCUCGCCCAAGCACGCUUAACUUCGGAGUUCUGAUGGGAUCCGGUGCUUUAGUGCUGGUAUGAUCGCAUCCGACAUACCGUGCGUUCUCCUCCCCUUUAUGCCCGCGCCUCCGUGUACGGCCCGCCCAUAGCUCCUUCGACGGCGCCGCCUAGGAACGCGGAGAAAAUAUGACAAAGGAACGGCCAAAAAUAAAAAGAAAGACCUUUCUUUUGAAAAAACAAACGCCUCCGUGUACGGCCCGCCCAUAGCUCCUUCGACGGCGCCGCCUAGGAACGCGGAGAAAAUAUGACAAAGGAACGGCCAAAAAUAAAAAGAAAGACCUUUCUUUUGAAAAAACAAACAAAAAAAAGGAAUGCAACACGAGGACUUCCCAGGAGGUCACCCAUCCUAGUACUACUCUCGCCCAAGCACGCUUAACUUCGGAGUUCUGAUGGGAUCCGGUGCUUUAGUGCUGGUAUGAUCGCAUCCGACAUACCGUGCGUUCUCCUCCCCUUUAUACCCGCGCCUCCGUGUACGGCCCGCCCAUAGCUCCUUCGACGGCGCCGCCUAGGAACGCGGAGAAAAUAUGACAAAGGAACGGCCAAAAAUAAAAAGAAAGACCUUUCUUUUGAAAAAACAAGCAAAAAAAAGGAAUGCAACACGAGGACUUCCCAGGAGGUCACCCAUCCUAGUACUACUCUCGCCCAAGCACGCUUAACUUCGGAGUUCUGAUGGGAUCCGGUGCUUUAGUGCUGGUAUGAUCGCAUCCGACAUACCGUGCGUUCUCCUCCCCUUUAUGCCCGCGCCUCCGUGUACGGCCCGCCCAUAGCUCCUUCGACAGCGCCGCCUAGGAACGCGGAGAAAAUAUGACAAAGGAACGGCAAAAAAUAAAAAGAAAGACCUUUCUUUUGAAAAAACAAACAAAAAAAAGGAAUGCAACACGCGGACUUCCCAGGAGGUCACCCAUCCUAGUACUACUCUCGCCUAAGCACGCUUAACUUCGGAGUNNNNNNNNNNNNNNNNNNNNNNNNNNNNNNNNNNNNNNNNNNNNNNNNNNNNNNNNNNNNNNNNNNNNNNNNNNNNNNNNNNNNNNNNNNNNNNNNNNNNNNNNNNNNNNNNNNNNNNNNNNNNNNNNNNNNNNNNNNNNNNNNNNNNNNNNNNNNNNNNNNNNNNNNNNNNNNNNNNNNNNNNNNNNNNNNNNNNNNNNNNNNNNNNNNNNNNNNNNNNNNNNNNNNNNNNNNNNNNNNNNNNNNNNNNNNNNNNNNNNNNNNNNNNNNNNNNNNNNNNNNNNNNNNNNNNNNNNNNNNNNNNNNNNNNNNNNNNNNNNNNNNNNNNNNNNNNNNNNNNNNNNNNNNNNNNNNNNNNNNNNNNNNNNNNNNNNNNNNNNNNNNNNNNNNNNNNNNNNNNNNNNNNNNNNNNNNNNNNNNNNNNNNNNNNNNNNNNNNNNNNNNNNNNNNNNNNNNNNNNNNNNNNNNNNNNNNNNNNNNNNNNNNNNNNNNNNNNNNNNNNNNNNNNNNNNNNNNNNNNNNNNNNNNNNNNNNNNNNNNNNNNNNNNNNNNNNNNNNNNNNNNNNNNNNNNNNNNNNNNNNNNNNNNNNNNNNNNNNNNNNNNNNNNNNNNNNNNNNNNNNNNNNNNNNNNNNNNNNNNNNNNNNNNNNNNNNNNNNNNNNNNNNNNNNNNNNNNNNNNNNNNNNNNNNNNNNNNNNNNNNNNNNNNNNNNNNNNNNNNNNNNNNNNNNNNNNNNNNNNNNNNNNNNNNNNNNNNNNNNNNNNNNNNNNNNNNNNNNNNNNNNNNNNNNNNNNNNNNNNNNNNNNNNNNNNNNNNNNNNNNNNNNNNNNNNNNNNNNNNNNNNNNNNNNNNNNNNNNNNNNNNNNNNNNNNNNNNNNNNNNNNNNNNNNNNNNNNNNNNNNNNNNNNNNNNNNNNNNNNNNNNNNNNNNNNNNNNNNNNNNNNNNNNNNNNNNNNNNNNNNNNNNNNNNNNNNNNNNNNNNNNNNNNNNNNNNNNNNNNNNNNNNNNNNNNNNNNNNNNNNNNNNNNNNNNNNNNNNNNNNNNNNNNNNNNNNNNNNNNNNNNNNNNNNNNNNNNNNNNNNNNNNNNNNNNNNNNNNNNNNNNNNNNNNNNNNNNNNNNNNNNNNNNNNNNNNNNNNNNNNNNNNNNNNNNNNNNNNNNNNNNNNNNNNNNNNNNNNNNNNNNNNNNNNNNNNNNNNNNNNNNNNNNNNNNNNNNNNNNNNNNNNNNNNNNNNNNNNNNNNNNNNNNNNNNNNNNNNNNNNNNNNNNNNNNNNNNNNNNNNNNNNNNNNNNNNNNNNNNNNNNNNNNNNNNNNNNNNNNNNNNNNNNNNNNNNNNNNNNNNNNNNNNNNNNNNNNNNNNNNNNNNNNNNNNNNNNNNNCCUUCAUCCAUCUGUGCGAGGCCUAUGUUGGCAUAGAGCCGCACUUUGAUCUUUUCCGGUAUCUUUUCUGUCUGAGGAAGAAGGGAGCAGUUGGAGGCUCCAAGGUUGCAGGUGGAGUAUACCUCAACCUCCGUGAUGGGAUGAAGAAUCGCUACCUGCACUGCCCAUGGAACACCUCCUUGACCGAAUGGUACAGGAAGUGGUUCUACGUCAGGGAGGAACCGGGCAGCUCCACGUUCUGCGACGUGGGGUACGUUCCCGAGAAGAGGGCGAGCUGGACUGACCGCCCAGAGUUCGACGGUCAAGUGGCGGUUCUGAUGAAGCUGAUCGACUGGUCGCGCCUGGAUGGGCUCAGCGUGGUCGGCAACUUCAUUUGCCGCCGGGUGAUGCCCUGCCAGAAGAGGGUGCACUCGGCGUAUGAAUAUGCCGGAAGCACAGACCCGACCAGGAUGCGGUCGGAGAUCCUGGAGAAGGCGGAGGUACAACAGCUGCUGAACGAGCUGUUUAACUUCGCGGAUGGGGGCUUCACCCGUAGCAGUGAUCGGGUGCAAGCCUUCAAGUUAGGACGACCAGCACCAAAGGUAUGUAGCAGACUUCGUUUGAUCAUUCGUAUGUCGCCUGUAGUUGGCUCAUCUCUGUUACCUUUGCAGGUCGGUGAUGUCGACCGGUGCGUAGUGUACGUAUCACUGGCACCGGGGAUGGAAGAUCCUGUGGGAGAGGUCCCACCGGAGGAAGGCAGAGCCCGCCCCGUCCCGACCUCCGAGGAGAGGGUGGCGGGGAAAAGGCCAUUGCCGGUGGAUCCCCUGCCGACGCCGGAGCUGCCGGCAGACCUACCGGCGGAGAGCAGCCAAGCGCCGAAGCGUCGUCGGCUCGUGCGGAUCGUCGACGACGACGACGACGACGAGGAGGCUGCGCCGUCGUUGGUCCGACGGCCUCGGGGCCGCCCAGACGCUGCACCAGUCGCCACUGAUCGAGUGGCCAACGGCGCGGCUGCCCCGCAAGUUGCCGAGGUGGGGGCACAGGCGCCGACCGGCCGGGCGAGGAGGAGGUUCACCGCGACCCAUCGCCGGUCAGACCUGUAAGUGUUCAACUUACGUAUUUUGGACUCCCCCUUUUUUUUUUUUUUAAACUUUUGUUCCUGUAGUGCGGCAUCGGAUGUCGACCCUGGCCAAACUGCCGGCCAGGGAACGGGCGAGCCUGCCCGCGGUUCUCGGGAUGCGGCCCCCCAGACCACAGAACAGCCGACUGCUGCAGUCGCGCCUGGGAGCACCGAGGAGCUCCCGAGCGCGGCGCCGACUACAACAAGCAGCCCGACCAGGGCUGGGGAGGCUCCCCCAACUGACUCUUCGGAGAAGGGAAAGUCUCCGACCGCUCCUCCUGCCGGGGGGAGUGAAGUCCCCCCGCCGCCCCGAGCAGAAGCCUCUCCGGCUGCGGGCUCCCCAGGUCUGGUCCAAGGGACGUUGACGCCUGGGACCACCACCGGGGGUGACGCAGCCCAGGAGGAGGAAACCAGGGCGGCCUCCGACGACGAGGUAGAAGAGAUCGAGGGUCGUCCCCGUGAUGGCCGCCAACACGUGUAUGUGUGGCGCCAACGCGGGGAUCACUUUAUCGGUCAUGAGGAGCUUGCCGAGUCCGAAGAGGCCGCCAGGGUGGAGCGCGCGGCCAAGCGCCUUGUCGACGAAGUCAAGGUAAGCGUCGUUUUGAGCUGCCGCGCAUUCUUUUGCCUUGUCUUCUGCGCAUUGUUAUAUGCUUGCUUUGUAGGACGUUAUGAAAACGGCGAAGUACCGGAAACGGUGCUUUGACCAGAUAGAAGGCGUCAUGGCCGAGAACAAGGCCCUUGCCGCGGAGGUAGACCGGUUGCGGGCGGAGGUCGGAGAGAAGGUGGUCGAGAUGAGCACCGAGAAGGAGCGUCGUCUCGACCUCGCUCGUCGCCUGGCCGACCAGUACCGGCUGCAGGAAGGUUAGUCUCACGCUCCGAGCAGUUUCGCAGACUUGUAUAGUUUGCUUCGCUGACCAGUUUAGGAUUCACGCAGACUUGGAGGAGGAGGUGGCGAGCCUCCAACAAGAGAAGGAGCAGCUCGGCCAACAGCUCGCCAGUGCGCAGGAGUCCGGACGGCGAGCGGAAGAGGAAUUAAGUCGUAAAGACCGGGAGUUAGCUGGUAAUGGGUGCCGCCUUGUUGGUUGCUACCUGCCCCUUUGCUUGUUUGGUAUGCCGAAAGUAACGUUUCGUUUCGUUUGCAGUGCUCAAGGUGAACACCAAAAAGCACCUGGAUGAGCUGGUCAAGGACCGGGACUCCUGGAAGGUCAACUGUUGCAGGAUCUGGAAGGGAGUGUCCCCGGUCCUGGACCUGAUCAGUCCCGAGCUCCCGGAGAGCCAGCCCCGCGCGCCGCAGUUGACCCCGGUUCAAAAGGCGCAACGGGCGUGGGACUGGCUCCAGCAGUUUGUGAAGGACGCCGGGGAGUUUGCCGGCGCGCACGUCCUCAGCAUGGUACGCGCCCACUACCCCCUUGUCGACUUGAGCAGGCUGGAGAAGGGGUACCCGAAGGAAGUCGGCCCACAGGAAGCGGACGAACUUCGGGGUAGUCUGCUGGACUUGUCGUCGACAGUGAUCGGCGACAUCAACCUGUGCGGAACGGCCACUCCUCCAGACCAGCCGAGCUCAGAUAGGUCGGCCAGGGAGUUGUCGGGCGCGUCCUUUGCUGGAGAUGGGCGGUCGACGCCUGCGGUCUCGACCAGCCAGGCGCCGGUGGCCCCGACCCCUUCGUCCGGGCAGCAGGGCCAGGCGGGUGAUCAGCCCGAGCAGCUAGGCCAAUAAAGUAGUCUGUAGGAAUAGACUAGUAUCUGCCCGUCAGGGUAUUUAUUGUAAACUUUGUAUGUAAAGUUUGUAAUAAAGUUUUCUUUUUGUCAUGACUGUUGUUUUGAGCGCUGUAAAAAUAUCUGAGUGAUGUGUCAUCGUAUUUGUCUUGGUUGUCGCCAAGAGCAUCCAUUGCGGGAGUUUUGCCGAGUGCUGUGUAUGACAAGGUAUAGGCAAAAAAUAGAGAAUUAUAUUGUCACAAAUUAUAAGACACUUACAAAAGAAAGUCGCUAAAACUUUAUGGAUAGAAACGUCGCAGUUUGUCGAUGUGCCAAGAGUUAGGCACUCGUGUUCCGUCUGGGUAUGCCAAUCUGUAGGACGUAGGUCGUGUGACCUCGGUCACCACGAAGGGUCCUUCCCAGGGAGUAGAUAACUUGUGCAUUCCCUCCUGGCUUGUUUUCCAUCGAAGCACCAGAUCGCCGACCACGAAGGAACGGUCCUUGACGUUCCUGUUGUAGUAUCGCCUGACUGCCGUGAGAUAUUUUGCUGUUCGGAGACAUGAAACUAAACGCUUUUCCUCCAUGCAAUUGAUUUCGAGUUCUCUGGCGUUGUCGGCGGUCGACUGGUCGAAGUGCUCAAUUCUAGGGGAUCCGAAGUGUAUGUCGGACGGCAGAACCGCCUCUGCGCCGUACACCAUGAAAUAGGGAGACACCCCCGUGUUUCGACUGGUCUGAGUUCGAAGGCCCCAGACCACUGCCGGCAAUUCUUUCAUCCAUCGACCGGGUGCUCUGUCGUUCUCGGUGUACAAUCUUUUCUUUAGGGCGUCGACGAUCAUUCCAUUAGCACGUUCGACCUGACCGUUGGCACGUGGAUGUGCCACUGACACAUAUUUUAUGACUAUGCCUCUGUCAUCGCAGAAAUCCCAAAAGGUGGUGCCAGUAAACUGAGUGCCCAGGUCGGUGAUUAUGCUGUUCGGGAUGCCGAAUCUGUGUAUGAUUUGAUUGAGGAACUCCACAGCCUUCUCGGAAGUUGCCUUGACCAGGGGCAUGUAUUCAAUCCACUUGGAGAACUUGUCGAUUAACACGAAGACAAACUUGAAGUUGCCCGGGGCUGGUUUAAAUGGUCCGAUCAUGUCAAGCCCCCAGCAGGCAAAGGGCCAAGACGACGGGAUGGUUUGAAUUUCAUGGGCAGGUACGUGGGUCCUCUUAGCGAAAAACUGACAUCCUUCGCAACGCCGAACCAGUUUUUCUGCAUCGCUGACCGCGGUCGGCCAGUAAAAACCUGCUCGGAAAGCCUUUCCGACCAGCGUUCUAGAUGCGGCGUGGUUGCCGCAGGAUCCGGCGUGUAUGUCCUCCAAGAGCUUGAUACCAUCGUCUUGGGGUAUGCACUUGAGCAGUACCUCGGAGCUUGCGUUUUUCCGCAUGAGUUUUCCGUCGACCAGGAUGUAGUUCUUUGACCGUCGGAUGAGACGCUCGUUCUCUGUUUUGUCCUGAAAACCUGUCCCGUCUGAGAUGUAUUUGAUGAACGGGACACGCCAGUCGCGCCCGCCGGUUGUCGGAGUGGCGUCAUCUAUGAGCAUUGCCUCGUUGGGUUGCUUGUCGACCAGGGGGGAGCUUACGCUCGGCUCAUGGAUGUCCUGGACGAAAAUACCGCGCGGGAUUUGGGCCCGGGACGAGCCUAACUUUGACAACGCAUCUGCUGCUUGGUUCUUAUCCCGGACCACGUGGAUGUACUCUAUGCCAUAGAAGUUAGUUUCCCAUUUGCGAAUUUCUUUGCAGUAGAGAUCCAUCUUCUCGUGGGUUGCGUCCCACUCCUUGUUGAGCUGGUUGAUGACCAAAGCGGAGUCCCCGUAGACAUAGAGGCGCUUAACCCCCAGCUCAACGGCUAGUCGUACGCCAUGUAAGCAAGCUUCAUAUUCGGCGACAUUGUUUGACGCCGGGAAAAGGAUCCGAAGGACGUAGCGGAGUUUGUCCUUGUUUGGUGAUACGAACAAUAUCCCAGCGCCUGCACCGUUGAUGUUCAAGGACCCAUCAAAGAACAUUGACCAGUGGUCUGAGACAUCGGGAACGGACGGUUCGUUGAGAUCCGUCCAUUCGGCAAUGAAAUCGACCAGGGCUUGGGACUUGACAGUGGUGCGACUCUGAAACUCCAGGGAAAAUGGACAUAAUUCCAUUGCCCAUUUCACGAUUCUGCCAUUGGCGUCUUUAUUGCGCAGGAUGUCACCGAGGGGAAAGCUGGUUGUCACCAGGACUCGAUGGCCGUCGAAGUAGUGCUUCAGUUUUCUUGACGUUAUCAGGAUGGCGUAUAUAAGCUUCUGUAUUUGUGGGUACCUGGCCUUGGAUUCGUUUAAAACUUCGCUUAUGAAGUAAACGGGCCUCUGGACCUUGAAGACGUGACCUGGUUCAUCUCGCUCGACCACUAUUGCCGUGGAAACAACUCUGUCGGUUGCAGCAAUGUAAAGGAGCAGGUCUUCGUUGGGCUGAGGCGCUGUGAGAACAGGCGGUGAAGUGAGGAAGGUCUUAAGCUGAGUGAACGCAGCGUCGGCGUCUUCUAUCCAGGAGAAUUUUUCUGACGCUUUCAAUAGUUUGAAAAAGGGGAGGCCUUUUUCUCCCAGCCUUGAGAUGAAACGACUGAGAGCGGCCAUGCAUCCGGUUAGCUUCUGAAUAUCCUUGACGUUCUUCGGUGGUCGCAUGUCGAGUACGGCUUUGACUUUUGAAGGGUUUGGCCGUAUGCCGUCGCAACUGACGACGUUGCCGAGCAGUAGACCGGAAGGAACGCCGAAAAUGCAUUUCUUGGGGUUGAGCUUCCACUUGUACCUAUUGAGUGCCUUGAAGGUUCGGUCUAAGUUGUCGAUUAGGGUGCUCGCAUCCCUUGUUUUUACGACCACGUCGUCCACAUAGGCCUCGACGAGGUCGUCGCGAAUCUCGUCGUGGAGGCAUUGCUGGAUGGCCCUUUGAUAAGUGGCCCCGGCGUUUUUAAGUCCGAAAGACAUGGUAGUGUAACAGUAUGCGCCGAAAGGUGUGAUGAAGGAUGUUUUGAUCUGAUCUUCUUCUUUUAACGAGAUCUGGUGAUAACCAGAGUAGCAAUCUAGAAAGGAGAGGAGUUCGCAUCCGGCCGUUGAGUCGACCACCUCGUCGAUGCGAGGAAGACCAAAAGGAUCUUUAGGACAGUGUUUGUUGAGAUCGGUGUAAUCAACGCACAUUCUCCAUUCAUUAUUCUUUUUGCGUACAAGAACCGGAUUGGCGAGCCAAUCGGGAUGAUACACCUCUUUUAUGAAUCCGGCUGCUAGAAGCCGUGUUAUUUCUGUCCUAAUAGCCUCCUUUUUGUCACGAGCGAACCGUCGCAGUUUUUGCUUGAUUGGUCUUGCGGUCUUCGAGACGUUUAAGGAGUGCUCGAUCAGGUUCCGUGGGACGCCGGGCAUGUCUGCGGGUUUCCAUGCGAAAACGCUCACGUUGUCCCUUAGAAACCUGACGAGCGCGUCUUCCUAUUUUGGAUCCAGGUUAGCCCCGAUGAGGGCUGUCUUCUCGGGGUUGCCCUCGACCAGCUGCACUUCUUUGUACUCCUUGGAUUUCGAAUUCUUUCUGGCUGUCUCCUGCUCAGGUAAUCGGAGCUGGUCGGGGGGCAGCUGUGCGGCUUGGUUUGCUGUUUCCGCCAUGCGGAUUGAGAGGUCAAUUGCCUCGGUGAUCUUGAAACUUUCUUCUUCGCAGGUGUACGCAGUGUAGACGUUGCCUCUGACGGUCAGGACACCCUUCUCCGUGGGCAUCUUAAGCACUAGGUACGAGUAGUGCGGGACUGCCAUGAACUUUGUCAGCGAUGGGCGGCCCAGUAUGGCGUGGUAGGUCCCGUCGAAGUCCGCGACUACGAAGUUGAUGAACUCCGUCCGGAAGUGAUCGGGUGUGCCGAAUUGGACAGGCAAUGUUAUCUGUCCGAGGGGCACCGAACUUUGACCUGGCAAAACCCCCCAGAAUUGGGCGUCGUAAGGUUUUAGUUGGGCCGGUGAUAUCUUGAGGGCGGGCAGGCUGUUGCGGAAGAGGAUGUCAAUGGAGCUUCCCCCGUCCACGAGCACGCGCUCGAAUCUGAUGCUGUUGAUGCAAGGAUCGAGAAUUAGUGGGAAACGACCCGGCUCCGGGAUAGCGGCCCACUGGUCCUUCCUGCUGAACGCGAUCUCCCUAUGGGACCAGGCGGGAAAUUUCAGAUCUGCGAUCAGCCCGUCCGUGCUGUCUAUGUUGAGGCAGGCUCUCUUCAACAGCUUUCUUUCUCGCUUGGACUCAGUGGAGACCUUGCCCCCGAAAAUGGAGUGGACCACGUCGGUGGGGCUGACGUAUUGGUGUCGGGGGUCCCUGUCUUGGUCCUCGUCCUCAUCUUCGUGGUCGUGCCCGUCGCGUUUGUUACUUUUCUUGGCGGUGUCUUCUUGGGCGGCCCGCCGUGUAUAGAUAUUUUUGAGGACGCGGCACUCUUCCAUGGUAUGGUUAGACUUUGGAUGUAGCUGGCACGGUCCCUUCAACGUUUUGUUGUAGUCGUCUUGGUAGUCCCGUCGUCCAUUGGGACGUUUGACCGUGUUUACUUCGUGGUCGUAUUCGCGAGGGCGCUUUCCUCUGAAGUCGUCGCGGCUGUCGCGCCGCCGAUCCCAACCCUCUCGGUGAUCGCGGUUGUCGGAGCGACGGUGAUUUCUGUUGUCGUAGCGGCCGCGACCGUCGUCUCGCCGGGAGGGCUGGUCGGUGCCUCUCGCAUCGUCUCGGAUUAGUUUUUCUGCGUCAUCAGCAUCGGCAUAAUUUUUAGCCGUGGCGAGGAGCUCUGCUACUGUUGAUGGACGUUUACGCAACAGCUUGUUCCUCAGCGCUUCAUGGAAACGUAAGCCCUUGAUAAAGGCUGAUAUGGCCUCGUCAUGAGAAAUCUUCGGGAUUUUGAGACGCAUAUCCGAGAAUCGUCGGAUGUAAUCACGCAGAGGUUCAUUCUUCCUGUCUCUUAUCCUUUCAAGGUCAUACUUGUUUCCGGGCUGUUCGCAUGUGGCGAUGAAGUUGUCAAUGAAAGCCUGUCGUAGUUCUUCCCAAGAGUCGAAGGAGUCCUCGGGCAAGCCGAGAAGCCACUGAUGACCAGCCUGGUCGAGGACUACGGGGAAGUAGUUAGCCAUGACGUGCUCAUCUCCUGCCGCUGAUCGGACGGCGAUUUCGUAGAGGGUGAUCCAGUUCUCUGGAUUUUCCUUGCCGUCGUAUUUUUUAAGUUUUUCGAGCUUGAAAUUUCUGGGCCACACGACCUGGCGGAGGUGUGAGGAGAACUGCCUUAGGCCCGGGGGACCAUGGGUCGCAUCGUACUCGAUGCGGCGUAGGUUUUCGUGGACUGCUCUCUCUGCGGCGCGCCUGUUGAUGCGGUCCCGGGCAUCUUUGGGAGGGAUGUUGUGGCGGAGAUCCCUGUGUUGAUCUUCUUCUUCCUGGCCGCGUACGCGGUUCUGCUGGCGGCGGCCAUCGGCGUCUCGACCACCAUCGUCGCGCCGUGAGUCCCCUCGACGGUUGUCGGGGGAGCGCCUGCGGCGACGCCUGCUGGGCGAGGCCCGGCUACGAUGAGUCUGGUCGGAGGCGGCUUCCGUAUAAGGGACGUCCUGGACUCUCUUAAGCAGAGUUGCUGUCUGUCCCAUCGCGGCGAUCAGGUGUGCUCGGAUACUGGUCCGGACCCCCUGGCAUUCUGGUGUGUCAGGAAGCCGAUCCAGGUUGGCCAUGGCAACAGCCACGUUGGCGCUUGGCGUUUUGUAGACCGGCUGGUCCCCGACCAUGUCAAAGGCAUCGUUGAGGUUACCCGGUGGCGUCUGUUGUUGCUCGUCCGCACGCCGUCGGGCGCGAUCGGCGUUACGCUGUUCGCGGAGUUGCCUCUGGUCGUCUGUUUCUCCGUCAACAACCGGUUCGUCGGCGCUGACAUUGAAUACAAUAUCCCCUCGCCGGGGGGGGGGAAUAUCGGGAACCGGUCGAAACCCGGAGGGUGUGAAGGGAAAUCCAGGUCGUAGCCCUCGUCUUCGGUGUUUAUAACCUCGGUGGGGACGGAGCCGGUGCUUGAGUUGGUGCUGGAAACCUGGCCGUUCCGUAGCUCUCGGAUUGUCACCAUGUUGACAUGGUGACGAUUGUUCCUUGUCGGCGACCAGCCCGCUUUGCUGAAAACGGAUUGAACAUGCUGUGAGUAGACAGAGGCCGAGUUAUUCAGGCCGCAAGGAUGGUCUCCCUUUUUGAGCUCGACGGAUCGGCCUGAGGAGGUUGAGGUUAUCGCCAGGGACGUUCCCAGCCGUUCGUGUGUGGUGACACGAGUUGGCCGGCGGGAUUUCGAAAAAUCCGCUUGAGUGGCUUGGUCGGGCCGGCGCAGAAUUCCAUCUAUUAGUUGGGAGACUUCGAGCAGCUUGGAGUCGGCGCGAUCGAGCGCUUGGAGGAGGUCCGAGCAGUCGAUCUCCUUUCCCUUGUAGAGUGGGAACGGUGGCCGGGAGUUUGGUGCCGUCAUGCGUGUGGUCGGAGACGGCGUGAUCUCAGAUUGGAUCUGGAUCUCUUUCGGGACCGUGGUCGGGAAGCCGCCGCUGCACGUCGUCCACGUGAUCUGGCCGACGGUAAACGUGAGGCCUUCGGGCACGGUCGCGGAAGCUGGGAUCGUGACCAUCUUGUUCGCCGGAAAAGUUGCACGCACACCCCCUACCUGGCGCGCCACUGUCGACGAAAGCUGGUCGGCAGUCUACCUUGGGGUAUACCCACGGUAGUAGUUUAUCGGUAGACGGUGCGCAAACUACGAACUCGAUGGUGACGCAAGACACGGACAAGCUUUUUAUCCAGGUUCGGCCGCCGAGUUGGCGUAAUACCUACGUCCUGCGUCUGGUUGUAUUGGAUUGUGUUUAGAGAUAAUCUACCCUAGGGGGUCCCCUUGCCCCUCCUUAUAUAGUCUGGAGGGCAGGGUUACAGAUCUAGAAACUAAUCCUAGCCGGUUACAAUUGCCAUAGAUAAUUCGAUAUCAAUUCCUAUUCUAACCGACUAGAAUCCUGCUUGAUCUCCACGUCCUGUUUCCUUGCGCGAAACUCGGGCUAUCGGAUCAAGCCUUGAACUCGUCUCGUAGUGGGCCAAGCUUCCUAGCUGAAGUCUAGCCGUAAGGGUAUAGGGGUUUAUACCCCCACACCGUGCGUUCUCCUCCCCUUUAUGCCCGCGCCUCCGUGUACGGCCCGCCCAUAGCUCCUUCGACGGCGCCGCCUAGGAACGCGGAGAAAAUAUGACAAAGGAACGGCCAAAAAUAAAAAGAAAGACCUUUCUUUUGAAAAAACAAACAAAUAAAAGGAAUGCAACACGAGGACUUCCCAGGAGGUCACCCAUCCUAGUACUACUCUCGCCCAAGCACGCUUAACUUCGGAGUUCUGAUGGGAUCCGGUGCUUUAGUGCUGGUAUGAUCGCAUCCGACAUACCGUGCGUUCUCCUCCCCUUUAUGCCCGCGCCUCCGUGUACGGCCCGCCCAUAGCUCCUUCGACGGCGCCGCCUAGGAACGCGGAGAAAAUAUGACAAAGGAACGGCCAAAAAUAAAAAGAAAGACCUUUCUUUUGAAAAAACAAACAAAAAAAAGGAAUGCAACACGAGGACUUCCCAGGAGGUCACCCAUCCUAGUACUACUCUCGCCCAAGCACGCUUAACUUCGGAGUUCUGAUGGGAUCCGGUGCUUUAGUGCUGGUAUGAUCGCAUCCGACAUACCGUGCGUUCUCCUCCCCUUUAUGCCCGCGCCUCCGUGUACGGCCCGCCCAUAGCUCUUUCGACGGCGCCGCCUAGGAACGCGGAGAAAAUAUGACAAAGGAACGGCCAAAAAUAAAAGAAAGACCUUUCUUUUGAAAAAACAAACGCCUCCGUGUACGGCCCGCCCAUAGCUCCUCCGACGGCCCCGCCUAGGAACGCGAAGAAAAUAUGACAAAGGAACGCCCAAAAAUAAAAAGAAAGACCUUUCUUUUGAAAAAACAAACAUUAAAAAGGAAUGCAACACGAGGACUUCCCAGGAGGUCACCAAUCCUAGUACUACUCUCGCCCAAGCACGCUUAACUUCGAAGUUCUGAUGGGAUCCGGUGCUUUAGUGCUGGUAUGAUCGCAUCCGACAUACCGUGCGUUCUCCUCCCCUUUAUGCCCGCGCCUCCGUGUACGGCCCGCCCAUAGCUCCUUCGACGGCGCCGCCUAGGAACGCGGAGAAAAUAUGACAAAGGAACGGCCAAAAAUAAAAAGAAAGACCUUUCUUUUGAAAAAACAAACAAAAAAAAGGAAUGCAACACGAGGACUUCCCAGGAGGUCACCCAUCCUAGUACUACUCUCGCCCAAGCACGCUUAACUUCGGAGUUCUGAUGGGAUCCGGUGCUUUAGUGCUGGUAUGAUCGCAUCCGACAUACCGUGCGUUCUCCUCCCCUUUAUGCCCGCGCCUCCGUGUACGGCCCGCCCAUAGCUCCUUCGACGGCGCCGCCUAGGAACGCGGAGAAAAUAUGACAAAGGAACGGCCAAAAAUAAAAAGAAAGACCUUUCUUUUGAAAAAACAAACAAAAAAAAGGAAUGCAACACGAGGACUUCCCAGGAGGUCACCCAUCCUAGUACUACUCUCGCCCAAGCACGCUUAACUUCGGAGUUCUGAUGGGAUCCGGUGCUUUAGUGCUGGUAUGAUCGCAUCCGACAUACCGUGCGUUCUCCUCCCCUUUAUGCCCGCGCCUCCGUGUACGGCCCGCCCAUAGCUCCUUCGACGGCGCCGCCUAGGAACGCGGAGAAAAUAUGACAAAGGAACGGCCAAAAAUAAAAAGAAAGACCUUUCUUUUGAAAAAAAAAACAAAAAAAAGGAAUGCAACACGAGGACUUCCCAGGAGGUCACCCAUCCUAGUACUACUCUCGCCCAAGCACGCUUAACUUCGGAGUUCUGAUGGGAUCCGGUGCUUUAUUGCUGGUAUGAUCGCAUCCGACAUACCGUGCGUUCUCCUCCCCUUUAUGCCCGCACCUCCGUGUACGGCCCGCCCAUAGCUCCUUCGACGGCGCCGCCUAGGAACGCGGAGAAAAUAUGACAAAGGAACGGCCAAAAAUAAAAAGAAAGACCUUUCUUUUGAAAAAACAAACAAAAAAAAGGAAUGCAACACGAGGACUUCCCAGGAGGUCACCCAUCCUAGUACUACUCUCGCCCAAGCACGCUUAACUUCGGAGUUCUGAUGGGAUCCGGUGCUUUAGUGCUGGUAUGAUCGCAUCCGACAUACCGUGCGUUCUCCUCCCCUUUAUGCCCGCGCCUCCGUGUACGGCCCGCCCAUAGCUCCUUCGACGGCGCCGCCUAGGAACGCGGAGAAAAUAUGACAAAGGAACGGCCAAAAAUAAAAAGAAAGACCUUUCUUUUGAAAAAACAAACAAAUAAAAGGAAUGCAACACGAGGACUUCCCAGGAGGUCACCCAUCCUAGUACUACUCUCGCCCAAGCACGCUUAACUUCGAAGUUCUGAUGGGAUCCGGUGCUUUAGUGCUGGUAUGAUCGUAUCCGACAUACCGUGCGUUCUCCUCCCCUGAAUGCCCGCGCCUCCGUGUACGGCCCGCCCAGAGCUCUUUAGAUGGGACUUCCGAUGGAAUCGGAGACAAUAGGACAAAGGAACGGCCAAAAAUAAAAAGAAAGACCUUUCUUCCGAAAAAACAAACGCCUCCGUGUACGGCCCGCCCAUAGCUCCUUCGACGGCGCCGCCUAGGAACGCGGAGAAAAUAUGACAAAGGAACGGCCAAAAAUAAAAAGAAAGACCUUUCUUUUGAAAAAACAAACAAAAAAAAGGAAUGCAACACGAGGACUUCCCAGGAGGUCACCCAUCCUAGUACUACUCUCGCCCAAGCACGCUUAACUUCGGAGUUCUGAUGGGAUCCGGUGCUUUAGUGCUGGUAUGAUCGCAUCCGACAUACCGUGCGUUCUCCUCCCCUUUAUGCCCGCGCCUCCGUGUACGGCCCGCCCAUAGCUCCUUCGACGGCGCCGCCUAGGAACGCGGAGAAAAUAUGACAAAGGAACGGCCAAAAAUAAAAAGAAAGACCUUUCUUUUGAAAAAACAAACGCCUCCGUGUACGGCCCGCCCAUAGCUCCUUCGACGGCGCCGCCUAGGAACGCGGAGAAAAUAUGACAAAGGAACGGCCAAAAAUAAAAAGAAAGACCUUUCUUUUGAAAAAACAAACAAAAAAAAGGAAUGCAACACGAGGACUUCCCAGGAGGUCACCCAUCCUAGUACUACUCUCGCCCAAGCACGCUUAACUUCGGAGUUCUGAUGGGAUCCGGUGCUUUAGUGCUGGUAUGAUCGCAUCCGACAUACCGUGCGUUCUCCUCCCCUUUAUGCCCGCGCCUCCGUGUACGGCCCGCCCAUAGCUCCUUCGACGGCGCCGCCUAGGAACGCGGAGAAAAUAUGACAAAGGAACGGCCAAAAAUAAAAAGAAAGACCUUUCUUUUGAAAAAACAAACAAAAAAAAGGAAUGCAACACGAGGACUUCCCAGGAGGUCACCCAUCCUAGUACUACUCUCGCCCAAGCACGCUUAACUUCGGAGUUCUGAUGGGAUCCGGUGCUUUAGUGCUGGUAUGAUCGCAUCCGACAUACCGUGCGUUCUCCUCCCCUUUAUGCCCGCGCCUCCGUGUACGGCCCGCCCAUAGCUCCUUCGACGGCGCCGCCUAGGAACGCGGAGAAAAUAUGACAAAGGAACGGCCAAAAAUAAAAAGAAAGACCUUUCUUUUGAAAAAACAAACAAAUAAAAGGAAUGCAACACGAGGACUUCCCAGGAGGUCACCCAUCCUAGUACUACUCUCGCCCAAGCACGCUUAACUUCGGAGUUCUGAUGGGAUCCGGUGCUUUAGUGCUGGUAUGAUCGCAUCCGACAUACCGUGCGUUCUCCUCCCCUUUAUGCCCGCGCCUCCGUGUACGGCCCGCCCAUAGCUCCUUCGACGGCGCCGCCUAGGAACGCGGAGAAAAUAUGACAAAGGAACGGCCAAAAAUAAAAAGAAAGACCUUUCUUUUGAAAAAACAAACAAAUAAAAGGAAUGCAACACGAGGACUUCCCAGGAGGUCACCCAUCCUAGUACUACUCUCGCCCAAGCACGCUUAACUUCGGAGCUCUGAUGGGAUCCGGUGCUUUAGUGCUGGUAUGAUCGCAUCCGACAUACCGUGCGUUCUCCUCCCCUUUAUGCCCGCGCCUCCGUGUACGGCCCGCCCAUAGCUCCUUCGACGGCGCCGCCU
rnacentral:lncRNA from 1 species